rnacentral:rRNA from 1 species
UACGUAGGCAGCGAGCGUUGUUCGGAAUUACUGGGCGUAAAGAGUGUGUAGGCGGUGCUCCAAGUCUGUUGUGAAAUCUCCCGGCUUAACCGGGAGGGUGCAGCGGAAACUGGAAUGCUUGAGGGUGGGAGAGGUAAGCGGAAUUCCUGGUGUAGCGGUGAAAUGCGUAGAUAUCAGGAGGAACACCUGUGGUGUAGACAGCUUACUGGACCACUUCUGACGCUGAGACACGAAAGCGUGGGUAGCAAACAGG